rnacentral:rRNA from 1 species
UACGUAGGGGGCUAGCGUUGUCCGGAUUUAUUGGGCGUAAAGAGCGUGUAGGCGGCCAGAUAGGUCUGCUGUGAAAACUCGAGGCUCAACCUCGAGCUGUCGGCGGAAACCAUCUGGCUAGAGUCCGGAAGAGGAGAGUGGAAUUCCCAGUGUAGAGGUGAAAUUCGUAGAUAUUGGGAAGAACACCGGUGGCGAAGGCGGCGCUCUGGACCGAGACUGACGCUGAGGCGCGAAAGCGUGGGGAGCAAACAGG